rnacentral:tRNA from 1 species
GGUCGCGUAGCUCAGCUGGAUAGAGCGUCGGAUUCCGAAUCCGAAGGCCGGGGAUUCGAGUUCCUCCGCGACCGCCA